rnacentral:misc_RNA from 1 species
GAUGAAGAACGCAGCGAAAUGCGAUAAGUAAUGUGAAUUGCAGAAUUCAGUGAAUCAUCGAAUCUUUGAACGCACCUUGCGCCCUUUGGCCAUUCCGAAGGGCAUGCCUGUUUGAGUAUCAUGAACACCUCAACUCUUCAUGGUUUUCCAUGAUGAGCUUGGACUUUGGGGGUCUUGCUGGCCUGUGGGUCGGCUCCUCUCAAAUGAAUCAGCUUGCCGGUUUUUGGUGGGCAUCACAGGUGUGAUAACUAUCUACGCUUGUGGUUUUGCACCAGGGUAACCUUCAGCAGUGGAGGUUCACUGGAGCUUACAAAUGUCUCUCCUCUGUGAGGACAGCCCUUUGAAUGUUUGAUCUCAAAUCAGGUAGGACUACCCGCUGAACUUAAGCAUAUCAAUAAGCGGAGGA